UGCACCUCACCUGAUAGAUAUUGAUUAACACGUUACACUAAUGAGUGGACAACUCUUGUCCCAUACUUCUCCAAGCAUGAUGCAGCAAUUCGAUCUUUAAGUUAUGUGGCUCAUCUGACAGAUAUCGGCUAUACUUUUUAGUUAAGUCAGACCCAUCGUUCAUAAGCAGGUGCAAAGUCAUUAUUGGAUCCCUCACCUG
rnacentral:lncRNA from 1 species